UAACCUCCCCAGGCUGACUGGCCCCCAGGCUGAGCUGGGCGAGUAUGUCUUUGAAAGGCUCGCCCUCAAGCACAACUAGGAGC
rnacentral:pre_miRNA from 1 species